CCUGAAGCUGCUGAUGGAGAUCACAGACAGCAGGAGGAAGAUUUACUCACUCCGCUCUCACACAGUCCAUCAGUGCGCCUCUGUAACGAGGCCACAGCUGCUGGAAGUCAGACUGAUGAUGAACCUGAACAUCCGCACUCUGAGCAGAGACAGUAAACCCUCCAUAAGAGGCUGCAGACAGCAGCAUGGACGCGUUCAGCAUUGUGCGGUGAUGAAAGGCGGAUCAUCGGGGAGCGAGCGGCUGUUAUUUUGGCACGGCUCUCCUAAUGUUGCUCGCAGCUCUAUAUGUGCCAUCCAUCGCCCGAGCACCAGGGACUCCCGGGGCUGCUAAAACCCUGCAGGCUGCUGUUGUUUUCUACUUCCUGUUUACACCGGCUCAAUCAAUCAACAAACAGUGGACUCAGCCUCCGUCUGAUCUGGAUCCAUGAGACCUGCUUCACCGUGACACCUCCACUGUUCAUGUUGGACCUUUACUUCUGUUUUUAUUUCUAAAUAAAAUGUUUAUUAUUUACUUCCA